CUCUUACGUUGCUGCUCCAGAAUUCCCGGUCUUAAAUCAAGAAGAAAAUACAGAGAAAAGUUUUGCUUCUUUCACCGAAAAGAAGAUCGAUUCUUCGGGAGAAGAAUUCAGAAGAUCUCGGGAGGAGGUCGAUCCGCCGACUGAGGGACUCAGCGUUGAAGGAAUUUCAACCGUGCGGAAAGGGACGUGCUGCAAAGUGAAGAUUGACAAUUCAGCGUAGAAUACAAGAACGGCGUCGACAAAGAGGGAGUCUUUGCAUUUUCGAUUAAGUCCUAUUACUGUAUUCGUAAAACUAAAAAUUAGUGAAUUUCAUUUGCAGGUCCCCGUGGAUGUAGGGUACAAUUGUAUCCGAACCACUUUAAAAUUUGUGUCUUUUUAUUACUGUUCCAUUAACUGUUGCAACUCUUCG
rnacentral:lncRNA from 1 species